rnacentral:rRNA from 1 species
AGUGAACGCUGGCGGUAGGCCUAACACAUGCAAGUCGAACGGCAGCACAGUAAGAGCUUGCUCUUACGGGUGGCGAGUGGCGGACGGGUGAGGAAUACAUCGGAAUCUACUUUUUCGUGGGGGAUAACGUAGGGAAACUUACGCUAAUACCGCAUACGACCUACGGGUGAAAGCAGGGGAUCUUCGGACCUUGCGCGAUUGAAUGAGCCGAUGUCGGAUUAGCUAGUUGGCGGGGUAAAGGCCCACCAAGGCGACGAUCCGUAGCUGGUCUGAGAGGAUGAUCAGCCACACUGGAACUGAGACACGGUCCAGACUCCUACGGGAGGCAGCAGUGGGGAAUAUUGGACAAUGGGCGCAAGCCUGAUCCAGCCAUACCGCGUGAGUGAAGAAGGCCUUCGGGUUGUAAAGCCCUUCUGUUGGGAAAGAAAAGCAGCAGGUUAAUACCCCGCUGUUCUGACGGUACCCAAAGAAUAAGCACCGGCUAACUUCGUG